rnacentral:rRNA from 1 species
UGCUACGCCCGUGUGACGCAUUGGAUACACCCGAUCCCGUGAUCUCAGAACUAAAGCAAUGCGCAGUCCGGUCAGUACUUGGAUGGGAGACCAAGCAAGGACGACAGGAUGCUGUAACCU